UUGUAGGCUAUGGUGGCAGGCUCACUCUCUGCUGUAAAUCCCAAACGAGUGUCGGGGUCCGAAGCCUUUCAGAGACCAGUACGAUGAUCAAGAGUCUCGUUCCGUACGACGACGCUUUGUCCUCAUCGGCCGGUAUGUUUCGAAUCGUGUCAGGCCAGGAAUGGAGCAGCACUAAGGAUUGUAUUUGGCGCUUUGGGGGUUGCAGAGCUGAGGAAAGAAUGAGAGCUACUUUUGGUUGUUGUAUUGUUCCAUGGAGGGUGGCCUACAC
rnacentral:SRP_RNA from 1 species